rnacentral:rRNA from 1 species
GACGAACGCUGGCGGCGUGCUUAACACAUGCAAGUCGAACGGUAAGGCCCUUUCGGGGGUACACGAGUGGCGGACGGGUGAGUAACACGUGGGUGAUCUGCCCUGCACUUUGGGAUAAGCCUGGGAAACUGGGUCUAAUACCGGAUAGGACUACGCGAUGCAUGUCGUGUGGUGGAAAGCUUUUGCGGUGUGGGAUGGGCCCGCGGCCUAUCAGCUUGUUGGUGGGGUGAUGGCCUACCAAGGCGACGACGGGUAGCCGGCCUGAGAGGGUGUCCGGCCACACUGGGACUGAGAUACGGCCCAGACUCCUACGGGAGGCAGCAGUGGGGAAUAUUGCACAAUGGGCGCAAGCCUGAUGCAGCGACGCCGCGUGGGGGAUGACGGCCUUCGGGUUGUAAACCCCUUUCAGCACAGACGAAGCGUAAGUGACGGUAUGUGCAGAAGAAGCACCGGCCAACUACGUG